UCGCUUGAAGCCCAUUGAGAGAACACCGCGUGCGUUCUAAGGAAACAAAAAAUCGUGGGCGGGAAUUUAAUUACAGGAAAAAAAGAGAGAGAAAAAACCAGGGUCGGAAUCUCAACUGUAGGCCGCGCCGCCGACUGUGUUGUUUUGGUCUGGGGAUGAAUCGGAAAUUUGGGGGAGGGAGGCCGCCGACGGGCACUCCGUCGCUGGCUUGGUCCUCCGUCGUCGUUGUACUUUCUCUUCUCGCCGGGGCAUCCGUUGUCCACAAUCUCUACAAGCCUGAUCUUACGUUGCCUCCUGUGGAUGGCGUUACUGGAACUAACGGCAAGCAGCCUGAGAAAGAAUGAAUGGAUCAGUUCUUCUUAGUAUUUUCUGCUUUGCCAAUUCGAAUUGUUUUCGAAUUGUUUUGCUAAAAAACUUUGGGGAUUUUUACUAUCGAUUAUCGUUUGUGGGUUGUGAAGAACUUGAAUUAUUUCCUUUUUAAUUUUAUCACUUUAUUUUUAUUCUUUUAAAAGUA